rnacentral:lncRNA from 1 species
AUGGGCCCGUGGAUGCGGCAGAUGGACCUCGGGUCACUUUCUCGCUCCUUCCCGGCAUGUGUCCCACGAGGGAGGGAUAGGCCAAGGCCAGGGCCAGCGUCCCAGGAGGCGGGGCUGGAGCGCCUAGCCUGCCUUCCUCCCCGCUGCCCUCCAGGUUCUGCGCCCCCGGGCUUGGCGCUGGCGGACACCUCCCAGGGGGCGUGGAGCCAAGACACCUGGGGCACGCGGCCAAGAGCUGCCGCCGCCCGCCCCUCCCCCAACCCCUGCUGGGGGUGUUUAUCUUCGCCGUUCCUCCUCGCUCUUUUCCCUUUCACUUUUCUUUUCGUUGGGGGUUGGGACUCCGUGGGUUCCAGGCGCCCAGGGAAACCCCAGCCUAUUUGUUUGUGGCCGCAGAGGCCCGACGCCCGGGAGCCGGGUGACCGCGCCCGCCCCGCUGCACUGCCUGCCGCCCCUGACCCUGCAGCCCGGAGUCGAUGGAGCCGAGCACAGACUGCUAGUCCACUUGUGGGUGCCGCGCGGAGCCCCCGCGGCCCCACGGUGCGCUCCGCUCUUUCCGCGUCGCCGGGUGCCGUGCGCUCCACCUACUCCGCGCUGGGAGGCGGAGAGCAAGGGAAGCGCGCCCGGCUGCCCGCGCCGAGCUGCGGGGUUCCGAGAAAGGGAAGUCACGCCGCACUGAGCGCUGAGUUCUGCACCUCAUCCAGCUCGGAAAGUUCAAGUAAGAAUCCAUUCCUAUAUAUGGUCAUGUGGCUCUUCAAAAUAAUAAUGUCUCAUCAUGUGCCAUGUUGGUGAUGUCACAGGAAGUCAAGAAGUCAAUGUUAGCAGAUAGCCAGCAUAUAGGAGGUCAUGUAAGUAAGGUUUUAAGAAUUACAUCAUGCAGUAUAGACCCAUUUGUGUAAUAAUGUAAUUAACAAUAAAGAAGAAGUGGCAAACUAGGGGAUAUUAUA